rnacentral:misc_RNA from 1 species
GAAUUAACUCCUUGAUGGGUGACAUCCCUUGCAUUUCAAGGUGGACACUUGCCAUUAAACUACUAAUUAAAUAAAAAUAAAACUUAUUUUCAAUGAUUUAUCAAUAUUCCUUUAACAUAUUUGGGGGUGGGAUCUAAAUCUGCACAAAGAGAGCUCAUUCACCACUACGGCUUCAAACCUCUAACCCAUAAUCUCCAUUUGUAUAAUCCAAGACGAUAAGCUAGAAAUACAAAAAGCACCAUACGUCAUGCAAAUUAGUAACAAAUAUCAUGAACAAAUUAAUUCCUGAUCAUGUUUCGUCUUAUUCCUUGGACAAUUGCUAGACAGUUCUAAUAAAUCCGUUCCUCAUUUUUGU